GGUUGCUUCAUCACUCAGCUUUGUUUCUAGCCUUGCUGCCCUACACUUAAUGGAAAGGGAUAAAAGAUAGAAGUGCUUCAACAAAGGGACCACAAGAUGGUCAAAGCUUCAAAGCACUGCCAUAAUACCAUCCUGGAUGAGAGUGGUAAUAUACCAAACAGCAGUUCUUCAACAACAUUUGAAAGUUUAUUCUCCAUCUCAAAAGCAAAUUAGACAGAGGUACUUUCUCCCUCUCAAAUAUGAAAAACACUGUGAAAAGAGGUUUUUCUUCAGCGUGUUCCUCCUUCCUCGAGCAGCUAAGGAGAAACCCUGUGCUCUUCCUGGCACGAACCAAAGUUGCUGCUAGCGGAGGAAACAAGGCUGUGAGAAGGAAACAGCAGGCACUGUGCAACUUUGCCUUGUUAAGGGAAGUGAUGGUCAGUCUGUUCCAUUUCUCCAACUCAGCCAUUCACUCAUUUAGAGACAAUAGCUCAACUAAGAAUUAUCAAAGGAAUUCUCAUUUACAAUGACGAGUGAAAUGGCUACAUGCAAGGCAGACCUUUCUAAAGAAAGUAGUCCUUCCUGGAGAAAGGCCCACCUAACCUAGGCUUGAGCAACACUGACGUCGGGGAUCAUCUCAGUCUUGAAUGCUGCAGACACAAAACAAGAAAUCCCAGUCAAGCAGUCGGCAAAUAUCAAUUGCAGGAGUCAAAUGACUGUAAAAAUUUAAUUUCACAUUAUCAUUACAAUUCAGCUGAUGGAAAAGAAUAAAAAUGUGGGUUGUGUGUAUGGGAUUAGUCA
rnacentral:lncRNA from 1 species